rnacentral:misc_RNA from 1 species
GAUGAAGAACGUAGCGAAAUGCGAUAAGUAGUGUGAAUUGCAGAAUUCAGUGAAUCAUCGAAUCUUUGAACGCACAUUGCGGCCAUAGGUAUUCCUUUGGCCAUGCCUGUUCGAGCGUCAUUUACACCCUCAAGCCUAGCUUGGUGUUGGGCGUCUGUCCCGCUGUUCUCGCGCGCGGACUCGCCUCAAAGUCAUUGGCGGCGGUCGUGCCGGCCCCCUCGCGCAGCACAUUUGCGCUUCUCGGAGGCCCGGCGGAUCCGCGCUCCAGCAAGACCUUUCACGACUUGACCUCGGAUCAGGUAGGGAUACCCGCUGAACUUAAGCAUAUCAAUAAGCGGAGGA